UACGUAGGGGGCAAGCGUUGUCCGGAUUUAUUGGGCGUAAAGCGCGUGUAGGCGGCCAGAUAGGUCUGCUGUGAAAACUCGAGGCUCAACCUCGAGCUGUCGGCGGAAACCAUCUGGCUAGAGUCCGGAAGAGGAGAGUGGAAUUCCUGGUGUAGCGGUGAAAUGCGCAGAUAUCAGGAAGAACACCCGUGGCUAAGGCGGCUCUCUAGUACGGUACUGACGCUGAGACGCGAAAGCGUGGGGAGCGAACAGG
rnacentral:rRNA from 1 species